rnacentral:rRNA from 1 species
AGCAGCCGCGGUAAUUCCAGCUCCAAUAGCGUAUAUUAAAGUUGUUGCAGUUAAAAGCUCGUAGUUGAAUUUCGGGAUCAAUAUGUUGGUCGUGCCUCGGUACGUACUAGCUUAUUGGUUUCUCCUUUCUGAAGAACCAUGAUGUCAUUUAUUUGGUGUCGUGGGGAAUCAGGACUGUUACUUUGAAAAAAUUAGAGUGUUUAAAGCAGGCUCACGCUUGAAUACAUUAGCAUGGAAUAAUGAAAUAGGACGUUUGAUUCUAUUUUGUUGGUUUCUAGGAUCGACGUAAUGAUUAAUAGGGAUAGUUGGGGGCAUUAGUAUUCAAUUGUCAGAGGUGAAAUUCUUGGAUUUAUUGAAGACUAACUACUGCGAAAGCAUUUGCCAAGGAUGUUUUCAUUAAUCAAGAACGAAAGUUAGGGGAUCGAAGACGAUCAGAUACCGUCGUAGUCUUAACCAUAAACUAUGCCGACUAGGGAUCGGAUGAUGUUAAUUUUUUUAAUGACUCAUUCGGCGCCUUACG